rnacentral:misc_RNA from 1 species
CGUGCUGGUGCACCGAACUGCUUUCCCCCACUUUCAAUCAAUCAAUUGCACCACGAUUUAACGAUGGAUGCAAAUUGGCGGGUUCCUGUGCUGUAUACCUAACGAGAUGGAAACUCAUCCCUUCGGUUGUCCCUUCCAAUCGUGCCUCCUCAUGGAUUCUCGGUUGGACUAGAUAGAGGGGCUUGUGCUCCACGGACAUCGUACGCGAUCGGCCGAUGGACCUCGAGCGCCUUCUUGUCCUCUCGGAUGCGGAAAGUUGCCCAUGGGCGUGGGUCAUCGGCCCUCGGUCCCUAAUUGUUGAAGCGUUUAUUGCUUCACCCCGGAAUGACGCUCUCGCCUUGCUCUUGAUCAUGUGGGUCAUCGGCCCUCGGCCCUCGACCACCACAGGAUCAUGCUCGGCGGACGUCGUGAAGGAAUGC